GAGUUCUUUAGCAGCAGGAAUUCUGGGAGGAAGAAGCAUUGAUAAAGAGAGUGUGUGCGCUGUAGGGAGAGAAAAAGGUGUGUUUAGUAAAUGUGGCAGCAGCGCUUGAAUCUGUACAAAGGAGAGUGCUACUGUGUACUCUGGAUUACCAGUUUCUUGACAAAGCAACUCAAACGUGAGUGUGGGGCCAUCUGCAGUAAAGAACCUGAUCUGAAACAGAAGGCUUACUUUGGGGAAACCAGCGAAUCCAACAACGGAUAAGAAAACACAAGUACAAUGCAGUAAGAUAGUUGAAACUUUCUAUAAAUCUGAACAGGAGUGUGUUUGGGAUAUUAGAACUGGAACUUUCUUAUGUGUUUAUGUGCUGGGAGCUCUAGGAGUGAAGGCAGCAACCAAAGGCUGUUUGAUUCCUAUUUUAGUACACGAGUGUGGAGUUUAAAAGACCGCUGUUUCAGCACAGAUAUUGCUUUUAAAAGUAAUCCUGGCCCCAGAGGCUGUAUAGCUUUAAAGACCAGUACAAUGAAUCACACUUUGUUUUCACCUGGCUUGCACUAUUUAAAAUAAUCACCAGGACACACAGAGAUGAAUAAUCCCUUCAGCAUAAAAAUUAUGUUAUUGUAAUGAGCAAUGGACUGUUUAUGAAACCACGAUUACUGGACUGUGUUUAUGAAACCACGGUUAAUGGAUUGUUUUGAAAAAGUGACAACAAAGUAUAGUUUAAAGACUUUGAUUUUUAGGUUGCUGUUGUCCAAAACUAAACAUGGUAUUUUGAGUUGGCUCUAGUGGGGAAUGCUGGCCUUGUUAUUUUCUUCUUUGGACUCACAAGCUGGGAUUACUUCACCCUCACUGCCCCGGAAUUUACCUGUAGGGGACACCCUUACUUACCUGUGGAACCUGGAAAAGAAAGGAAAGUUAGUGCACAACUGACACCAAGAAUACUACAACCACCAAGACUAGGAGAAGGGACACUUACCUGGGAGUCCUCCUAGUGGCCAGUGUAACAGCUAGCAUGUUAGCGGUGAAACUGCAUCCCCAAACGGACAGUCCUGGUCUGCAGCGACACACCUCUCGCUGUUUCUAGCACCUGCUUUUCAUCUGCAACUGAAUCUAUUCUGUCCUGAUCACAUCAAGAUUUACAGUACAGAACAACAACGAAAAAGGUUUAAACCAACAAAUGACAUUUGAUGCAAACUGCAUUUCUUUGCCUGAACACCUCUGUGACUGAUUGUCACAUGAUGGCUUGUGUGGUGACGUCAGACCCGGGAGAGACAGGCCACAGCUUGGAAGUCGGUUUCUCAUUAAGGUUCCAGUACAGAACAGCCGCUUCUGCAACAAGAAGUCAGCGAGCUUCAGAGGCGUGAAAAAUCCGUCAUAAUACACACAAGUGCCCUCUUCCAGCUGUGCUGUAAAUGUGCUACAACAGCUUGUCCUUGGCUGCCGGUCGAUGUUUUGCUGCAGUUCGUGUGCACCUUGAACUUCUGUCUUGGGUGACGUAUUCUGUGCAUUUGGAGCAUGUAGAGUGUUGUGCGGGUUGCGUUUGUCCUUUUCUGCUCCCUCUGGCUGCCUGACGGGGUCCUACUGCAGUUCAGCUGGUGUUUUCUAUCUUUCAUCAACAAAGUAAAUCUGAUAAAUGAAAAGGAGAAACAGUUCACGUUGCUUGCACUAAUUUUUUUUUUUUUUUUUUGUCACCACGCUUCCAUGCUGAGAUAUCUGGCCUCUAGACCCCAAUCCGCACUUUGGGACCUGCUGUUUCUAACUGCACAGAACCCGGCAGUCUCCAGGUCCUGGUUUCUGCAAGACUCCAAAAAGGUGGCCUUUCUUCCUUGAACUAUACAUGACAUUCCUUCAGGAUUGGCACUGAAACCACAGCUGUUCAGUGAAAUAUUAUUAUUAUUAUUAUUUAUUUAUUAGCAAUCUUACAAUUGUUACAAGAUACCACAUUAUUUUUACAUACAAUUACCCAUUUAUACAGUUGGGUUUUUACUGGAGCAAUCUAGGUAAAUUACCUUGCUCAAGGGUACAGCAGCAGUGUCCCCCACCAGGGAUUGAACCCAUGACCCUCCGGUCAAGAGUCCAGAGCCCUAACCACUACUCCACACUGCUGCCCAUUUGUGGGCAAUAUUUGCACACAAAUAUUCCUGCGCUUGUCAUAAAAAAGCUUGAUCGGUGGUCUUAAGAGGCUUCUGAGAUCUACAUAAGUAACAAUGUUAAAGACAUUGCUGGAACCAACAUCCUAAAGAAGGACUAUUCCAGGAUCCAACACUACCAUAUCCUUUGCAUAUAUUGAAAGAAAAACAAAACAAACUGCAUUCUGCUAUAUGAUGCUACCUAUUAUGUAUAAAUAUGCUAUUUUUUUUAGGCCUGGAGGGGAGGCAGCUGAAGGUCUAGGGCCCCCGGAGAUUUUUUUCCUUUUUAGGUUGUUUUUUUUUCUUCCCUCCAUUGCCUUCAGUCAUGCAAAAGUAGAUAUCACAUUAUGUGAUGAUUUUUUUUUUUUUGAGGAGUUAACUGUUUAAAUUUUUUAUGUUUUUCACAUUCAGCAAAAUGUGAUGUGGUGUAGGUGGUCAUUUCACCUUAUUGAACUGUUAAAAAUGUAAAGGAUCAACAGGAGUGUGCUACCAUACCAGUUUCUGUUACUGGGGAAAAGUGGAUACUACAACCUGCUGUAUCAGAGACAAUUAUAUUUAAUGAUCGAUUUCUUUGUGGUAAGCACCUCAUGUCUGUUUUGUAUUUUAUAUAAAGGUACAAUACAGUAUAAAUUUUCGCUUUUAAAAUCUUUAAAAUCACCCCCGAUGACCUAUUUAGAAGAUUUGUUUUUUAAUUUUUUUAAACCGAUUAAACGUGGGUUUGGCAACAUAUUUUAAAUAAUGUCAAUCAUGCACCACUCUCUUUCUACAUAAAGAAAACGGCUUUCAGAAGGCAGGCAGUGUACAAAGACAUGACCAACUGACCAAUCAUCAAUUUUGUGAACUAAAUAAUACGCGUAAUUUGCUUAGCAACGGGUUUAGCGACCAUGAACCCACCCAAACAAACCAGCAACAUGGCGUCACCAGUUAGUUUUGGCGUUGCGGUUUUAUUCAGUGAUGAACCGUUAUUGUAAAUAUAAAACCGCUGCAUAGUUAUGCUUCUACUAAUGCAUAACUGCCUAAUUAUUAUUAUUACUAUUAUGAUUCAUAUUAUUAUUAUAGCUACAUAAAUAUCAAUCCUUAAUCAGAGUACCAUGAUGAAUGUUUUAUCAUAGGAAAACAUUUUAAUUAUUUCUAGUAUGCUGAGAUUAAUUACUACAGUAUGUUAUAGUCAUAAGAUUGGGUGGUGUGGCAAUGUGCCCCGCCCCUGUGUGCAUUUCUGUGUUAUAUGUUGCGUGUGGUGUGUUAAUGUUGGUGUAUAGAUAUGGCUGCAAGGGAUAUAAAUGGGUGUGUGCAGCACAAGUUAUUUAAAAUGUAUAAUUGUAUUUAGGCACAGGGAUUGCACUUCACUUCAUGUGCAUUUAAAGUAUUUAAUAUGUGAGCACGGGGUAGCACAGAAUUUGUUCACGUGCUGGGAUUCAAGUGAAUAAUUAAUUAGUAAUUGAAUCCCGGCACAACAGUAUAUAUAGAUGCACGUUUCACUCACUCGGGGUUGUGUGUUCAGGGUGAAGGAACGGGAGAGAGAGGAGGUAAAAAGUAUAAAAAUAAUCAAUUGCUACGUCGUGCUGGAGGACCAGCACGGUACAUGUUUGUUUAGUGUUCGUCCCUGUGUGUUAGUGUCUGUUCGUUUUGUCUAUUUAUUUUGGCCGCAAGUGUUGUAUUCUGUUUUGUUCAGCAUUUUAUUUUCUGUGUUAUUAAAACACUGAGCGCAACAGCGUCUCAGAUUCACUCCCCACUACUGUCUGUCUGUGUUUCUUCCGGUUCUGAUGUCACCACUCAGCCAGCCUUGUGACAGGUGAGCAUAAAAAAAAAACAUGAACUGUGUCUGUAGUGUGAUAGAUACACAGGCGGUAAUGGACGUACAAUGAAAUCUGUGUUAUUUCUCAGAAUUAUCAGAUUCAAAAUGCAUCCACAGUUCUAGAUUGCCAGAAUCGUAAUGUGGACAUCCUCACUUCAACACAGGAAUUUAACGUUUGUAUAUGUAUUAGUGAACAAAAAAUAAACACCGAAAAAUGCAAGCCGUAAGUAUAAGUAAAGGGGACGCUUAAAUGCAUUGUAGUCAGGAAAACAUCUAUAUUGGAAUCUGUAUGUGAA